UACAGAGGUCCCAAGCGUUGUUCGGAUUCACUGGGCGUAAAGAGCUCGUAGGCGGUUUGUCGCGUCUGCUGUGAAAACUGGAGGCUCAACCUCCAGCCUGCAGUGGGUACGGGCAGACUAGAGUGCGGUAGGGGAGAUUGGAAUUCCUGGUGUAGCGGUGGAAUGCGCAGAUAUCAGGAGGAACACCGAUGGCGAAGGCAGGUCUCUGGGCCAUUACUGACACUGAGAAGCGAAAGCAUGGGGAGCGAACAGG
rnacentral:rRNA from 1 species